rnacentral:rRNA from 1 species
UACGUAGGGUGCGAGCGUUGUCCGGAAUUAUUGGGCGUAAAGAGCUCGUAGGCGGUUUGUCGCGUCGACUGUGAAAACCCGAGGCUUAACCUCGGGCCUGCAGUCGAUACGGGCAGACUAGAGUUCGGUAGGGGAGACUGGAAUUCCUGGUGUAGCGGUGAAAUGCGCAGAUAUCAGGAGGAACACCGGUGGCGAAGGCGGGUCUCUGGGACGGUACUGACGCUGAGACGCGAAAGCGUGGGGAUCAAACAGG